rnacentral:rRNA from 1 species
UACAGAGGUCUCAAGCGUUGUUCGGAUUCAUUGGGCGUAAAGGGUGCGUAGGUGGCGCGCUAAGUCAGGUGUGAAAUUUCGGAGCUUAACUCCGAAACUGCAUUUGAUACUGGCAUGCUUGAGGACUGGAGAGGAGACUGGAAUUCACGGUGUAGUAGUGAAAUGCGUAGAGAUCGUGAGGAAGACCAGUGGCGAAGGCGGGUCUCUGGACAGUUCCUGACACUGAGGCACGAAGGCCAGGGGAGCAAACGGG